CCCGCAGGGGUGUCACACACUGGUUUGCCGGCGGUAGUGGGUCAGGCGCGGAAGCGAGCAGCCCACCGCUGGACACCCGUCGCUCGUUGGAUCGCGGGGUGG
rnacentral:SRP_RNA from 13 species